UACGUAGGGGGCAAGCGUUGUCCGGAAUCAUUGGGCGUAAGGAGCGUGUAGGCGGCCAGAUAAGUCCGCUGUGAAAUCUCGAGGCUCAACUUCGAGCUGUCGGUGGAAACUGUCUGGCUAGAGUCCGGAAGAGGAGAAUGGAAUUCCUGGUGUAGCGGUGAAAUGCGCAGAUAUCAGGAGGAACACCGGUGGCGAAGGCGGGUCUCUGGGACGGUACUGACGCUGAGACGCGAAAGCGUGGGGAGCGAACAGG
rnacentral:rRNA from 1 species